rnacentral:rRNA from 1 species
GAUGAACGCUAGCUACAGGCUUAACACAUGCAAGUCGCGGGGCAGCAUGGGGGUUGCUUGCAAUCCCCGAUGGCGACCGGCGCACGGGUGAGUAACGCGUAUCCAACCUGCCCUUCACCACGGGAUAACCCGGCGAAAGUCGGACUAAUACCGUAUGUUGUCCAUUGACGGCAUCCGAUUUGGACGAAAGGUUUGGCGGUGAAGGAUGGGGAUGCGUCCGAUUAGCUGGACGGCGGGGUGACGGCCCACCGUGGCGACGAUCGGUAGGGGUUCUGAGAGGAAGGUCCCCCACACUGGAACUGAGACACGGUCCAGACUCCUACGGGAGGCAGCAGUGAGGAAUAUUGGUCAAUGGGCGUAAGCCUGAACCAGCCAAGUAGCGUGCAGGAUGACGGCCCUAUGGGUGGUAAACUGCUUUUAUGCGGGGAUAAAGUGGCCCACGUGUGGGUUUUUGCAGGUACCGCAUGAAUAAGGACCGGCUAAUUCCGUG